AGAGGUCUUCUAAACCUUUGGUAUAGGUUCAAAUCCUAUUGGACGCA
rnacentral:tRNA from 1 species